rnacentral:rRNA from 1 species
UAAUACAUGCAAGUCGAGCGAGGUUCUUCGGAACCUAGCGGCGGACGGGUGAGUAACACGUGGGUAACCUGCCUAUAAGACUGGGAUAACUUCGGGAAACCGAAGCUAAUACCGGAUACUUUCGAGCAUCGCAUGAUGCUUGAUGGAAAGACGGCUUCGGCUGUCACUUACAGAUGGACCCGCGUCGCAUUAGCUAGUUGGUGAGGUAACGGCUCACCAAGGCGACGAUGCGUAGCCGACCUGAGAGGGUGAUCGGCCACACUGGGACUGAGACACGGCCCAGACUCCUACGGGAGGCAGCAGUAGGGAAUCUUCGGCAAUGGGCGAAAGCCUGACCGAGCAACGCCGCGUGAGCGAUGAAGGCCUUCGGGUCGUAAAGCUCUGUUGUUAAGGAAGAACAAGUACGAGAGUAACUGCUCGUACCUUGACGGUACUUAACGAGAAAGCCACGGCUAACUACGUGCCAGCAGCCGCGGUAAUACGUAGGUGGCAAGCGUUAUCCGGAAUUACUGGGCGUAAAGCGUGCGCAGGCGGUUUUGUAAGACAGGCGUGAAAUCCCCGGGCUCAACCUGGGAAUUGCCCUAGUGAACUNCAAGGCUAGAGUAUGGCAGAGGGGGGUAGAAUUCCNCGUGUAGCAGUGAAAUGCGUAGAGAUGUGGAGGAAUNCCCAUGGCGAANGCAGCCCCCUGGGCCAAUACUACGCUCAUGCA